AGCCAACAGUGAGAUUUGAACUCACGACCUCUGAUUUACGAGACCAAUGCUCUGACCCUGGGCUAUGUUGGC